GCCGGAAUGGCGCAGUGGUGUACAUUUCACGCUUCCAUAUGCACUCCGCGAAUACUGACAUUGCGGUAGAACGCGUCGCACUUGUAAUGCGAAGAUCCCUAGUUCAAUUCUGGGUUUCGGCA
rnacentral:tRNA from 1 species